AGAGACGGCAGGAAGGGAGAAGAAGAGAAGAGAAGGGGAUUUGCUUGGGGAUGAUCAUUUUGUCCUGGAAUUGAAGUCCUAACAUGGUAGCGAGUUGGUCAAGUGGGAGGUGUCGAAACCGUAAGUUUGGCAUACUCCAGUCGAAGCGAAGGUGAGUGUGUCUGAUAUGGUACUUCUCAAUAAGAUAUUGUUGUGGUGGUAUGUGUAUAUCAUGCUAAUGGUAUUUUAGCUUUCGAUAUGAUUAUCGUUAUAUAGAUAAUGCGGUGGAGGUGAUUGUAUAUCAAUGAUAUCAUGCUAAUCGAGGUUUAGCUAUUGAUAUGGAUAUAUAUGGUCGAAAUUGUAUAUCAUGCUAUAUGUUGUUUUAGCUAAUGGUAUGCAUGCUUGUUGUAUGUUGAUUGUACCCGCGAAAGGAUUGUGGAGUGAGUCACGCCAUGUCGUAUGCCAUUCCGUCUAAUUAACGGAGGUUGGGAGCAUGGUUUGCGGGACACAAUGCCUUGGGUACAUGGGAAUGUGGCAGACGUGUCACUGCAUGCUUGUGUGAUUUACAUUCAUGCUGUCGUUAAUUCAGUUAUUGUUACGUGGCUGUUUAUUGGAUAAUAUUGCUAUGUUUGGCGGAUGUGGUGGUUAUAACUAAUAUACUCAUAUGGGUAUUGCAGUUAUGUUGGUGGUGAAUAUUCUUAUUGAUAUUCUUAUGGGUAUUGUGAUAUUUUAUUGAGCAUUUCUAUAUCUCACACACUCUGGCUUUCCUUUUUGGUCUGCCAGGUAGCAGGUUCCUUAGAGUGGUUCCACUACCGGUCGACGUGUUGAGGUGUACUCGAGUAUUAGCUUUGGGAGGUGUUGGUGGUCGAGCGUGCUGUAGGUAGUUAUUGAAGGAAUUGAUUUUUAUAAGUUGUAAUUUAGUCAUUGGUGAAUAUGUUGAAGUAUAGAACUUAAUAAGUCUUGUAGUAGUGGUUAUGGUUUUAGCUAUGCAGGCUUGUGAUUGGUUGAUCGGUACGUUGACUCAUUUCUGUUUUAUUGUGAGAAGUCUUCCGCUAAGUUGUAUUC